GUAACUACCUCUAUAUCGCUAUAAUAAGCGAUAUAGUGGUUUGAAAUUUACGUGACGUCACAGUGAGCUGCGCCCUCCCUUCUCCUUACUUUUUCCUGUGUCAUUGAACACAACUCGAGACUUUCGAAACCUCCCACUCAGUAUCGGAUGAAUAACACAGUUUGAUGUUUUGCUUGUUCUGCUGACGGACACGUUAAAGACGUCUGCGCUCCCGUUUCUGUGCAUGUCCAGCAUGAGACAACUGGAAUUCAACCACAUUGAACACCGACUUCAGGGACAGACGAGCCUGAAGGACACAGCUGUGAUGACCAUGUUCUGUCUCUUAUGGCAAAGCAGAAAUAUAAAACACUGGGUUCUUAUCUAAAGUGUAUCAAAUCAGAUCUCCACCAUGUUGCUGCUGAGGACAUCAGGUGCUGCAGUUCUUCAUCUAUGAAGAGAAAAAACGCACUGUUAAAGAA